UCGGCGCGAUUCGCCUUACGGCUCAGUAACACGUGGCUAAUCUGCCCUUGGGACCGGAACACCCCCGGGAAACUGGGGCUAAUUCUCGAUAGGUGAAGAACUCUGGAAUGAGUCUUUGCCAAAAAGACGUUUACGUUAUGCUCGUAGACGUCGCCCAAGGAUGAGGCCGCGACCGAUCAGGUUGUUGGUGAGGUAAUGGCUCACCAAGCCUUUUACCGGUGCGGGCCGUGAGAGCGGGAGCCCGGAGAUGGGCACUGAGACAAGGGCCCAGGCCCUACGGGGCGCAGCAGUCGCGAAAACUUUGCAAUACACGAAAGUGUGACAGGGCUAUCCCGAGUGCCAUCCGCUGAGGAAGGCUUUUACCCAGUCUAGAACGCUGGGGGAAUAAGGAGAGGGCAAGUCUGGUGUCAGCCGCCGCGGUAAUACCAGCUCUCCGAGUGGUGUGGAUGUUUAUUGGGCCUAAAGCAUCCGUAGCUGGCUGAGUUAGUCCCUUGUUAAAUCCACCGAAUUAAUCGUUGGAUUGCGGGGGAUACUGCUCGGCUAGGGGACGAGAGAGGCAGACGGUAUUUCUGGGGUAGGGGUGAAAUCCUAUAAUCCCAGGAGGACCACCAGUGGCGAAGGCUGUCUGCUAGAACGCGCCCGACGGUGAGGGAUGAAAGCUGGGGGAGCGAACCGGAUUAGAUACCCGGGUAGUCCCAGCUGUAAACGAUGCAGACUAGGUGUUGGGACGGCCACGUGCCGUUCUAGUGCCGCAGGAAGCUGUUAAGUCUGCCGCCUGGGGAGUACGAUCGCAGAUGAAACUUAAGGAUUGGCCGGGGGGCACAGGGCGAAUCGUUUAACUUGCA
rnacentral:rRNA from 1 species